rnacentral:misc_RNA from 1 species
GAUGAAGAACGCAGCGAAAUGCGAUAAGUAAUGUGAAUUGCAGAAUUCAGUGAAUCAUCGAAUCUUUGAACGCACAUUGCGCCCGCCAGUAUUCUGGCGGGCAUGCCUGUCUGAGCGUCAUUCCAACCCUCAUGCCCCUAGGGCGUGGUGUUGGGGAUCGGCCAAAGCCCGCGAGGGACGGCCGGCCCCUAAAUCUAGUGGCGGACCCGUCGUGGCCUCCUCUGCGAAGUAGUGAUAUUCCGCAUCGGAGAGCGAUGAGCCCCUGCCGUUAAACCCCCAACUUUCCAAGGUUGACCUCAGAUCAGGUAGGAAUACCCGCUGAACUUAAGCAUAUCAAUAAGCGGAGGA